rnacentral:rRNA from 1 species
AGAGUUUGAUCCUGGCUCAGGACGAACGCUGGCGGCGUGCCUAAUACAUGCAAGUAGAACGCUGAAGAGAGGAGCUUGCUCUUCUUGGAUGAGUUGCGAACGGGUGAGUAACGCGUAGGUAACCUGCCUUGUAGCGGGGGAUAACUAUUGGAAACGAUAGCUAAUACCGCAUAACAAUGGAUGACACAUGUCAUUUAUUUGAAAGGGGCAAUUGCUCCACUACAAGAUGGACCUGCGUUGUAUUAGCUAGUAGGUGAGGUAAUGGCUCACCUAGGCGACGAUACAUAGCCGACCUGAGAGGGUGAUCGGCCACACUGGGACUGAGACACGGCCCAGACUCCUACGGGAGGCAGCAGUAGGGAAUCUUCGGCAAUGGGGGCAACCCUGACCGAGCAACGCCGCGUGAGUGAAGAAGGUUUUCGGAUCGUAAAGCUCUGUUGUAAGUCAAGAACGGGUGUGAGAGUGGAAAGUUCACACUGUGACGGUAGCUUACCAGAAAGGGACGGCUAACUACGUGCCAGCAGCCGCGGUAAUACGUAGGUCCCGAGCGUUGUCCGGAUUUAUUGGGCGUAAAGCGAGCGCAGGCGGUUUGAUAAGUCUGAAGUUAAAGGCUGUGGCUCAACCAUAGUUCGCUUUGGAAACUGUCAAACUUGAGUGCAGAAGGGGAGAGUGGAAUUCCAUGUGUAGCGGUGAAAUGCGUAGAUAUAUGGAGGAACACCGGUGGCGAAAGCGGCUCUCUGGUCUGUAACUGACGCUGAGGCUCGAAAGCGUGGGGAGCGAACAGGAUUAGAUACCCUGGUAAUCCACGCCGUAAACGAUGAGUGCUAGGUGUUGGAUCCUUUCCGGGAUUCAGUGCCGCAGCUAACGCAUUAAGCACUCCGCCUGGGGAGUACGACCGCAAGGUUGAAACUCAAAGGAAUUGACGGGGGCCCGCACAAGCGGUGGAGCAUGUGGUUUAAUUCGAAGCAACGCGAAGAACCUUACCAGGUCUUGACAUCCCGAUGCUAUUUCUAGAGAUAGAAAGUUACUUCGGUACAUCGGUGACAGGUGGUGCAUGGUUGUCGUCAGCUCGUGUCGUGAGAUGUUGGGUUAAGUCCCGCAACGAGCGCAACCCUUAUUGUUAGUUGCCAUCAUUCAGUUGGGCACUCUAGCGAGACUGCCGGUAAUAAACCGGAGGAAGGUGGGGAUGACGUCAAAUCAUCAUGCCCCUUAUGAGCAGGGCUACACACGUGCUACAAUGGCGUAAACAAAGGGAGGCAGAACCGCGAGGUCGAGCAAAUCCCAAAAAUAACGUCUCAGUUCGGAUUGUAGUCUGCAACUCGACUACAUGAAGCUGGAAUCGCUAGUAAUCGCGAAUCAGAAUGUCGCGGUGAAUACGUUCCCGGGUCUUGUACACACCGCCCGUCACACCAUGGGAGUCAGUAACGCCCGAAGUCAGUGACCCAACCGUAAGGAGGGAGCUGCCGAAGGUGGGACCGAUAACUGGGGUGAAGUCGUAACAAGGUA